rnacentral:rRNA from 1 species
UACGUAGGGUGCGAGCGUUGUCCGGAAUUAUUGGGCGUAAAGAGCUCGUAGGCGGCUUGUCGCGUCGGCUGUGAAAACCUGGGGCUCAACCCCGGGCCUGCAGUGGGCACGGGCAGACUAGAGUGCGGUAGGGGAGACGUGGAAUUCCUGGUGUAGCGGUGAAAUGCGCAGAUAUCAGGAGGAACACCGGUGGCGAAGGCGGGUCUCUGGGCCGGUACUGACGCUGAGGAGCGAAAGCGUGGGUAGCAAACAGG